UACGGGGGUGGCAAGCGUUGUUCGGAAUUACUGGGCGUAAAGGGCUCGCAGGCGGCCAACUAAGUCGGAUGUGAAAUCCCCAGGCUUAACCUGGGAACUGCAUCCGAUACUGGAUGGCUUGAAUCCGGGAGAGGGAUGCAGAAUUCCAGGUGUAGCGGUGAAAUGCGUAGAUAUCUGGAGGAAUACCGGUGGCGAAGGCGGCAUCCUGGACCGGCAUUGACGCUGAGGAGCGAAAGCUAGGGGAGCAAACGGG
rnacentral:rRNA from 1 species